GAUUUCUGGUGUAGCUGCCCCUGUAUCUGGCUCCUCUCUGCAGGCGAUCCUGAAAGCUUUGAGCGCUGCACAAGGUGCUGGUGGUCCCCAGGUCCUCGUGAAGCAGUCGAUCCCCCAGCCUGCUGGCAGAGAGAGCGUUGAGAUU